UAUGGGUGAGAAAAUGGAUCAGUGAGAGAUCAAUAACAGGAGGUUCGGCUUUGCUGUUAAAACAGCUUAGAUUAGAAGAUCCCUCUGAGUACAGAUUGGCGUUACGACUUACAGCCGAAAAUUUUUACGAGUUACUUUCUCUCAUAGAACACCCUAUUCAGCGUCAAGACACCAUAAUGAGAGAUGCACUACCCGCAAAAAUAAAGUUAGAAAUAACGUUGACAUAUUUAGCUAUAGGAAUGUCUUACCGAAGCAUAAGUCACUUUUAUCGUGUUUCCAAAUCUGCUAUAUCACAGUUAAUACCAGAAGUGUGUCGGGCAAUUUUUAGAGCAUUAAAACAAUUUAUUAAGAUGCCAAAUACAGAAGAGGAAUGGAAAACCAUUGAGGCGGGCUUUAAUACAAAAUUGAAUUUUCCAACGUGUUAUGGCUCAAUAGAUGGAAAACAUGUAGAAAUCAGAGCUCCCUCUAAUAGUGGAAGUGAAUUUUUUAACUAUAAAAAAAAGAAGCAGCAUCAUAUUGUUAGCUAUUGUUGAUUACAACUACUGUUUUUUAUACAUAAACGUUGGCGCAAGUGGCAAUGUAUCUGAUGGUGGUGUUUUCAAAAACUGUUCAAUUCACGAACAACUAGAAAAUGGCCUGUUACCUGAAGAUGGAGUUAUUGUUGGAGAUGCAGCAUUUCCGCUUUAGACAUAUUUAUUAAAGCCAUAUCCAGGCGUUAACCUCAGUGCAGAAGAAAAAAUAUUUAAUUACAGGCCAGACGUGCCAGACGUAUAGUCGAAAACGCUUUUGGGAUUUUAGUCAGUAGGUUUUGUAUUUUUGAAAAGGCAAUACCGACUAACUUGAAUACGGUAGAUGCAAUCAUUUUUGCAACUUGUGCAUUACAUAACUGGCUAAGAAAAAAAUCAAAAUCAUCUAUCACUGCAACUUGCAUAGAUAGGGAAGAUCAAGAUGGAAAUAUUAUACUAGGUUUAUGGAGGCAUGAAAUAACUCCCUUAAAAAGUAUCUCGAAUCAAGGAAGUAAUCAUUCAGCAAAUAUUGCUAGAGAAAAAAGAGAUAAAUAUAAGAAUUUUUUUAUGGACAACGGUAGUAUUCCGUGGCAAUUUGGUCACAUAUAGUAUUAUAAAAAUAGUAAAUAAUGUUAAACUAAACUUACAAAUAUAUAUAUUAUUUUUC